CCAGGUUGAGCUGCUCGAUCUUCUUUAGGCACCCGAAGGAGAGCGGGAUCGGGCCGGUCAGCAGGUUCGUCCCCGCGUCGAACACCGUCGCCUUCUUCAGGAGGCCGAUCUCGUAGGGGAGGCAGCCAGAGAGCAGGUUGUUUAGGAAGAGCACUUCAAGGAGCGUGUUGGCCGCCUGGCCGAUCGAACUGGGAAUCGGCCCAGUGAACUUGUUGUUGGCGAGAGUGAGGUACUGCGCCGGGGUGAGGCCGAGGUCCGCGGGGAGCUGCCCCGUGAAGUUGUUGUUGUUCAGGAAAAGGACCUGCGCAUUGUUGAUUAGAAAAUAUUUAAACUUUCUCGUCCGUUAGUUUAACAUUUGGAAAACAAACAAUUCCUUCACAACCGGCCACGCAAGUGAUAAAAAAUUUAAUAAUUAAUAUUUGAGAUUUUAAAUUUAAAUCUUAAUUAAUCUAUAUUUUUAACUAAAUUUAUUUUUUAAAAAAUAAAUAAAACGGAUAGCAUAAAUAGUGACUAUUUUGUUCUUAUAGUAUUCACCGCAACACGUCAUCGCCAUGAAAAAAGAGGAGAGGAUAAAAAAGAUGACGGAAAGUAAAUUUAGCUAGAAAUAUGAAUCAACUAAAAUUCGAAUUUGAAACCUCGGGUACCAACUACUAAAUCUUUUGCUACUUAUACUAGGGACAAUCGAUAACGGGACUCAAUAUUAAAAUACAUAUUAUAUAUAUAAAGAAUAAGAAAAUUAGUUAACUUAUAGUUAUCUAGAUUUUAUUAACAUAAAGAUAUGUUUACAAACGUAAAGAAUUUUGAAGGAAUAAAUCUGAAAACAAAAAUUUUGUAAGAAUAUAUAUUUAUUAUUUAAUAUUUUUAUAGAAAAGCAUAGGCAAUUAUUCUAUAAGAUAAAACUGUAUGGAGACCAGUCAAUACAGUUCAUUCCGGAAUUGCCUGUCGAAUCUUUUCCUCUUUUCCUUGUUUUGGAUUGGCGCCACCUAAUUUUUUUCUGUUUUCUUUGUUUUGGAUCGAAAUAGCGAACUGAUUUUUUUUCUUUUAUUUUUUCCUUUUGGAAUUGGCACCGGAUUCUGCGGAAUAGAAUGUCCUACAGUUGAGUGGGCCAUCAUACAUUUUUAACCUUUACAUAAAGUAACAAAAUGCUUUGCUUUAUAUCGAAAAGUAAAGCAUAGUUGUUACGCAUGUCUAUUUAAAGAUUUAAAUAACUAUUAUUAAAGAAAUUAAUAAAGUUAAUAUGAAAUAUAUUUUAAGUAUACAGAUGCAAAGUCAUUUUACUCUUUGCAUAUAUGUUUAAGCUUUUAAGAGAAAUGGAAUGUUACCGCACCUGUAACAUGCUGAGCACGAAGACCUGCGGGGGGACGGCGCCGACGUAACCGUUGAAGCGGAGGUCGAGGAAGGUGGCGUUGUUGAGGCAGAGGACGUCGGCGGGGAAGGCGCCAGUGAGCUUGUUGUUGCUGACGUCGAGCUCGUAGAAGAAUCGCAGGCCGCUGAGGUCGGGCACCGUGCCCCCGAAGUUGUUGGAGUUGGCGUGGAAGAGCGCGAGGUCGGGCAACUGGUCGACGAAUCCGCAGACGGUGGGGGCGCCGAGCCGGUAUCCGUUGAAGUCGACGGAGGCGACCGUCGGCGUGUUUACGCGGUUCGGCGGCGUCUCGCAGAAGAAUCCGAGAUAGGAAGUCUUACUGCAGAUGUCGGUGCCCGCCCACGUAUUGGUGAUGCCCUGUGGGUCGGAGGUGAUGGUUCCCCUGAAUCGCUGGAUUACGAGGUAGGCGUUGUACAGCAGAACGUUCGGAAAGCAGGCCUGUGUUAUCGGCCCGUUGGGAGUGCAGGGGGGAGGCGGGGGAGGGGUACAGGGACAGCCCGAUCCGGGAGGGGACGGGCUGCCUCCCCCGCCGCCGCCCCCGCCCCCGCCAAUUCCGAUUCCUAUUCCGAUUUCGAUCGCCUUGCGGCUACUCGUGACGUUGAAAUGACGUCCAAAGCUGAAAUUCAGAAAUGUCGUCAGAAGAAGCAGUUGCAGGAAGAAACAAACGAGAUGGAAAGCCAUCGGCGUGGGAAAACGAUUGAAGCGUCGAUUGAGCAACUGCUUAUGAUGAUGUAUAGAAAACAAUUGGGGGAGGAUCCGUGAGGCGUUGAGCCACUGAUUCGGACUGAGAUAUAAGUAGCAAAGUAGCUGUAAAAUGCCCCCCAGGGACAAAAAAAUGGAAGAAGACGCCGUUCACACUGGUGGUUGCGAUGGCAUUAUCGAUCGCCACUUUUGCUUUCUUCGUCGCCGUACGUGUUCUUAUUGAUCUGACGAGAGAUGCAAACGAGAAAAAGAAUUAUAAGUUUUAAAGAUUAGUUUUUAGCCGUUGAUGUGCUGUAUCGGAGGGCGGAGGAUGAAGCUGAGCCAUCUCAGUUAGGCCGAUGGCUUGACUCGCCACUUUGUACUGUACAUAGACCACGUGCCGCGUUUUACUCGUUUGGAAGCUCAGUGUGUCUGUGUGAGUGUUUGUAUGUUUUUUUUUUUUUUUUUAAAGGGGAAGGCGCGUAGGAAAAAUUCUAGAAUGCAACGGGUAUAUUAGUGACGUGGUGUAACAAACCAAUCAAAUUAAUCCUUUUAAAAAUAUAUGUCCCAUCAUGAUUGUAAAAAAAUAUUUUUAUUGUAUUUUUGUUUAAAAAGAAGGAAUGUGAUUGGCUUGUUAUUGAUGACGUGGUGCAAGUGUGACAGUGUAGAAUUCCUCGGCGCGUAGGCCCCAGCGUCUGCAAUUACGCUCUGCGAAAUCAGAAGAGUACGAGGAGUAGUGCUACCGACACUGGGCAUAAUUUUGUAGAUUUUAAUUAAUCAUUUUAUAAAUAUAAAUAGUUAUAUAUUAUAUAUAUAUACUAUAUAUAUAUAUAUAUAUAUAUAUAUAUAUAUAUAUAUAAUUGAGUUUCUAUGUUUUUAAAAGUACUAAGUUAUUGAUUUAUAAUUUUUAGCCAUUAGAUUAAGAGACAUGCGGUUAGGAUGAUAUGACCUCCUAGGGUUGAGUGAGCGAUUGGUUGAAUAGUAUAAUCUAAUGUUGAAAAUGAUCCAGAUGAGUAAAUCUAAGGUAAAAAUUUACAACGCACCAAGUACUUUGUGCUUUUACAAGCACCAUAGCUGGACUAUAAUAUUAUAUAUAUAUAUUAAUAUAUAUAUAAUAUUAUAUAAUAUAUAUAUUAUAUAUAUAUAUAAUACGACUGGAAUACUAUCAACAGCACCAAUCUAUUAGUGCUAUUAGUUGUUUACUCUUUAUUAAAGAAAUGUGCGGUUAGAAUAAUGUGCGCCUAGGAUGAGUGGGUGAUCGUUGAAUAUAGAAUCUAACGGAUAAAAAUAAUCAAAGAAUUAAAUCUAACGUGGAAAAUACGAUGUACCAACCCUUUGAUGCUAUCGAUAGUAUCCUACCGGACUAUAUAUUUGAUGCUAUCGAUAGUAUCCUAGCCGGACUAUAUAUUUCGACAUCAUUUACCUUACGAUCAAGAGUCACAAUUUGAUAAUUUUUAACGGCCGUAUCGAAAUUACUGGCUAGUUUAACGGUGUAAAAAAAUCGAAAUCGUUGAAUUUUUGAUAGAAAAUUCUAUCACUACAUAGAUAAAGAUUAAUAACUCCGAUCUUGAAAUGAAGGAUCCGAUCAUCUUUUUUAAGACGUCUUUCGAUUUUGACCGUCAUUUUAUGCCCACUUGAUGGACUUUAUUAUGAUUUCGAAAAUUUACGAAAUUUAUUUUCUAGAAGUUUCAAACACUCUAGAUCAUAUUUAACGGAGUGGAUCGUCGAUUUGGAAGCCCAUCAUCGAAAACAACUUAUGAGUACGAGGGCUCUAAUACUCAUAUAUAUAAUAAUAUAUAUAUAUAUAUAUAUAUAUAUAUAUAUAUAUAUAUAUAUCAUAUAUAAAGAGAGACAGACGAGCGAGAAGAGAGGAGAGAGAGAGAGUUGGACUGGCUCUAUUAUAGUAGCAAAAUUUCAUUGUUACCACAGUUUUUAGCCUUUGGAUCAAUUCUUUUCAUUAUUUCUAACCAUUGGAUUAAAUACUAAAAUCUAGUGGGACCACUCACCCUAGGGGACCACUCAACUCUAACUGACUAAUAUCAUCCUAACGAUAUAUAUUUUCUCAUCCAAGGGUUAAACUUGAUAGCAAAAAGAGCGUUUUUAUUAUUAUAGUAUUCCAGCUCUAAUUAUAUAUAAUAUUAUUAAUAUAUAUAUAUAUAAUAUAUAAUAUAUAUAUAUAAUAUAUAUAUAUAGGGUUGCUCGUCCUAAGGAGCACGGGCCUCCGUGCCUUCUGAGCCAUUUUGACUGAUAUAGAAUUUUCAAAUUCGACGAUCAGCCUCCGUUAGACUUGAUCUAGCGCAUUUGAAGUUUCUAGAAAAUAAUUUUUGUGAUUUUUUGAUAUCAUUUACCUAUGUGAUCGAAAGGAUUCAAAAUCUAUAAUUUUAAUGGUUGAUAUCUGCCGUUUCCAAGUUUAACGUGUAGAAGUUUUCAAAUAAGAUGAAAUUCNNNNNNNNNNNNNNNNNNNNNNNNNCCUUUCGUUCAAAACAAGCCCAGCAGCUGCGCCCAACGACGUAAAAGUAUUGUCAGACAUGCGAUAGUUCAUCAGGUUGCCAACCGCGGGCGUCCCCAGUCUGCCACAGCACGUCAGGCGACCUCGCCGUAGAGCUUGUUUGUCCGCCAGUGUUGAGCUGGCUCGAUCUCUUUAGGCACCGAAGGAGAGCGGCAUCGGGCGUUACAAGGCAGGUUCGUCCCGCGUGAUGACCCGUCCCUUUCUUCAGGAGGCCGAAUCUUCGUAGGGGAAGGCAGCCAGAGAGCAGGUUGUUUAGAAGAGCAACUUCAAGAGCGUGUUGGCCGCCUGGUCCGAAUGAACUUGGGAUCGGCCAGUGAACUUGGUUUUGGCGAGAGUGACGUUACUGCGCCGGGGUGAGGCGAGGUCCGCGGGGAGCUGCCC
rnacentral:lncRNA from 1 species